rnacentral:tRNA from 1 species
AGUUGCGUAGCUCAGUCGGUUAGAGCACCACCCUGAUAAGGUGGGGGUCGGUGGUUCGAGUCCACUCGCAACUACCA